GAUGAACGCUGGCGGCGUGCCUAAUACAUGCAAGUCGAACGCUGGAGAUCUAGCUUGCUAGAUCGAAGGAGUGGCGAACGGGUGAGUAAUACAUAAGCAACCUACCCACGAAGACUGGGAUAAUCUCUGGAAACGGGGACUAAUACCGGAUAGGUAAUCGGAAGGCAUCUUCUGGUUAUUAAAGGUAAAAAACACUGGUGGAUGGGCUUAUGGCGCAUUAGUUAGUUGGUGAGGUAACGGCCCACCAAGACGAUGAUGCGUAGCCGGCCUGAGAGGGUGAACGGCCACAUUGGGACUGCGACACGGCCCAGACUCCUACGGGAGGCAGCAGUAGGGAAUUUUCGGCAAUGGGGGCAACCCUGACCGAGCAACGCCGCGUGAGUGAAGACGGCCUUCGGGUUGUAAAGCUCUGUUGUAAGGGAAGAACGGUAGAUAGAGAAUAUCUAAGUGACGGUACCUUACCAGAAAGCCACGGCUAACUACGUG
rnacentral:rRNA from 1 species